rnacentral:lncRNA from 1 species
AUGUGAUGAUAACGAAGCAUCUUUUUUCAGUCGGAUAUAAAUUCUUCCACCAAUCUAGAUUCAUUCUCCACACAUCAUCCAUUACAAUGAGACAGGUCUUGUCACUGAGCCUCUGUUGAAUUUUGUGCAGCAAAUAACUUUCUUCAAUUCCCGAUUCAUCCUCUCCCAGCUGUUUCAACAUGGCCCUCAUGACUCGUUCCUCGCAGAAAUUCUGAGAAACUGGCACCCAUAUCCUCUUCUCAAAGUAUGCAACCAUCUCUCCAUCAUUGAAUAUCUUUUGGGCAAUGGUGGUUUUGCCUAAACCACCCAUACCCACAAUACCGAUUUGCUGAAGCUUCUCAUUACUGCUAAGGAUCCACCCUUUAAUCUUUUCCAAGUCCUUCUCCAAACCGAUUAUUUCAGAUGGUUCCCGGUCCUCUGGGGAAUAUUUAAAUAUUUGGUAUGAUGAAUUAUUAGGCCCCUGCUGGAUGAUUGGCUGUUCUGCUCUUCCAUACACCCCCAAGCUAGACUCCAUUUUCUCAAUCCGUGAAUUGAUAUGCUUCAAAUCCUUACCUGUUUGGUAUAUGAAAAACAAGUCACGAAGUGAGAACCUGUGGCAAAACCCAUCUUUCCGAUAUUCAUCUCUAAUUUGGCAAUCCGUCAUUAUGUCAUCAGCUUCAUAAAUUAUUUUUCUCAGGUUAGGCAAGAUCUUCUGCAUGAACUCCCCCCGAGUUUUCUGCUUAUCAGUGCAGGAGAUGAAGGCAGUCAUUAGCUCAAGCUUUGUCUUCAUUGCCGCAAGCUGAUCUUUAAAAUCAAGUGCGUACUGAGCUUGAGUCAGCAAAGCAGAAAACACUUUCUCUAUCAAUGUCCCAAUCAUCGCCUCUGUCGCUUUCGACGCCGCCAUAUCCUCGGGCAAAUGUUCCCUGUUAAUUUCAUGUUCAUUAUCAUCUCAGUAAAGUAUACAUCUUAUGAGCUCGUAUGGGCUUCUGCUACAACCAUACAAUCAUGACACACAUAAAGUACUAUUCCACUCACUAAGGGAAUGGACUUUUGGAGCAAGCAAGCCUCCUAUUGUCUUGAUUGCCAGCGGUAGUCCCCCGCAUUUCUUCAAGAUCUCUCUGCCUUUUUUUUCAAACUCCUUAUUGGGGCAUUUUCCCUUGCUCGUUAAAAAUGCAUGCUUGCAGGGUAAUGACCAACUCUCCUCUUCAUUUAAAAUUUUUGGGGGAUCAAUUCUUGACUCAUCAACUCCCAUACUGUUGACAACGGUUUCAUUUCUAGAUGUGAUGAUAGCGAAGUAUCUUUUUUCAGUCGGAUAUAAAUUCUUCCACCAAUCUAGAUUCAUUCUCCACACAUCAUCCAUUACAAUGAGACAGGUCUUGUCACUGAGCCUCUGUUGAAUUUUGUGCAGCAAAUGACUUUCUUCAAUUCCCGAUUCAUCCUCUCCCAGCUGUUUCAACAUGGCCCUCAUGACUCGUUCCUCGCAGAAAUUCUGAGAAACUGGCACCCAUAUCCUCUUCUCAAAGUAUGCAACCAUCUCUCCAUCAUUGAAUAUCUUUUGGGCAAUGGUGGUUUUGCCUAAACCACCCAUACCCACAAUACCGAUUUGCUGAAGCUUCUCAUUACUGCUAAGGAUCCACCCUUUAAUCUUUUCCAAGUCCUUCUCCAAACCGAUUAUUUCAGAUGGUUCCUGGUCCUCUGGGGAAUAUUUAAAUAUUUGGUAUGAUGAAUUAUUAGGCCCCUGCUGGAUGAUUGGCUGUUCUGCUCUUCCAUACACCCCCAAGCUAGACUCCAUUUUCUCAAUCCGUGAAUUGAUAUGCUUCAAAUCCUUGCCUGUUUGGUAUAUGAAAAACAAGUCACGAAGUGAGAACCUGUGGCAAAACCCAUCUUUCCGAUAUUCAUCUCUAAUUUGGCAAUCCGUCAUUAUGUCAUCAGCUUCAUAAAUUAUUUUUCUCAGGUUAGGCAAGAUCUUCUGCAUGAACUCCCCCCGAGUUUUCUGCUUAUCAGUGCAGGAGAUGAAGGCAGUCAUUAGCUCAAGCUUUGUCUUCAUUGCCUCAAGCUGAUCUUUAAAAUCAAGUGUGUACUGAGCUUGAGUCAGCAAAGCAGAAAACACUUUCUCUAUCAAUGUCCCAAUCAUCGCCUCUGUCGCUUUCGACGCCGCCAUAUCCUUGGGAAA